rnacentral:tRNA from 1 species
GAGGGUAUAGCUCAGUUGUAGAGUCCAUGCUUAGCAUACAUGAGGUCCUGGGUUCAAUCCCCAGUACCUCCA